rnacentral:rRNA from 1 species
CACGUAGGUCGCAAGCGUUGUUCGGAAUUACUGGGCGUAAAGCGCAUGUAGGCGGCCUAGCAGGUCGGAUGUGAAAUCCCUCGGCUCAACCAAGGAAGUGCAUUCGAAACCGCAAGGCUCGAGUCCCGGAGAGGAUGGUGGAAUUCUCGGUGUAGAGGUGAAAUUCGUAGAUAUCGAGAGGAACACCGGCGGCGAAGGCGGCCAUCUGGACGAGGACUGACGCUGAGAUGCGAAAGCGUGGGGAGCAAACAGG